UGGCGGACGGGUGAGUAAUGUCUGGGAAACUGCCCGAUGGAGGGGGAUAACUACUGGAAACGGUAGCUAAUACCGCAUAACGUCGCAAGACCAAAGAGGGGGACCUUCGGGCCUCUUGCCAUCGGAUGUGCCCAGAUGGGAUUAGCUAGUAGGUGGGGUAACGGCUCACCUAGGCGACGAUCCCUAGCUGGUCUGAGAGGAUGAUCAGCCACACUGGGACUGGGACACGGCCCAG
rnacentral:rRNA from 1 species